CCUACGGGUGGCAGCAGUGAGGAAUAUUGGUCAAUGGCCGAGAGCCUGAACCAGCCAAGUCGCGUGAGGGAUGACGGCCCUACGGGUUGUAAACCUCUUUUGCCGGGGAGCAAAGAGCGGGACGCGUGCCGUCCCGAGAGUACCCGAAGAAAAAGCAUCGGCUAACUCCGUGCCAGCAGCCGCGGUAAUACGGAGGAUGCGAGCGUUAUCCGGAUUUAUUGGGUUUAAAGGGUGCGCAGGCGGAAGCGCAAGUCAGCGGUAAAAUUGAGAGGCUCAACCUCUUCCCGCCGUUGAAACUGGUUGUCUUGAGUGAGUGAGAAGUACGCGGAAUGCGUGGUGUAGCGGUGAAAUGCAUAGAUAUCACGCAGAACUCCGAUUGCGAAGGCAGCGUACCGGCGCUCAACUGACGCUCAUGCACGAAAGUGUGGGUAUCGAACAGGAUUAGAUACCCCAGUAGUC
rnacentral:rRNA from 1 species